AUUGAACGCUGGCGGCAGGCCUAACACAUGCAAGUCGAGCGGAUGAAGGGAGCUUGCUCCUGGAUUCAGCGGCGGACGGGUGAGUAAUGCCUAGGAAUCUGCCUGGUAGUGGGGGAUAACGUCCGGAAACGGGCGCUAAUACCGCAUACGUCCUGAGGGAGAAAGUGGGGGAUCUUCGGACCUCACGCUAUCAGAUGAGCCUAGGUCGGAUUAGCUAGUUGGUGGGGUAAAGGCCUACCAAGGCGACGAUCCGUAACUGGUCUGAGAGGAUGAUCAGUCACACUGGAAGAGAGACACGGUCCAGACUCCUACGGGAGGCAGCAGUGGGGAAUAUUGGACGAUGGGCGAGAGCCUGAUCCAGCCAUGCCGCGUGUGUGAAGAAGGUCUUCGGAUUGUAAAGCGCUGUAAGUUGGGAGGAAGGGCAGUAAGUUAAUACCUUGCUGUUUUGACGUUACCAACAGAAUAAGCACCGGCUAACUUCGUG
rnacentral:rRNA from 1 species